rnacentral:rRNA from 1 species
UACCAGCACCCCGAGUGGUCGGGACGUUUAUUGGGCCUAAAGCAUCCGUAGCCGGUUCUACAAGUCUUCCGUUAAAUCCACCUGCUCAACAGAUGGGCUGCGGAAGAUACUAUGGAGCUAGGAGGCGGGAGAGGCAAGCGGUACUCGAUGGGUAGGGGUAAAAUCCGUUGAUCCAUUGAAGACCACCAGUGGCGAAGGCGGCUUGCCAGAACGCGCUCGACGGUGAGGGAUGAA